rnacentral:rRNA from 1 species
CCUACGGGUGGCAGCAGUGGGGAAUAUUGCACAAUGGGGGGAACCCUGAUGCAGCGACGCCGCGUGAGUGAAGAAGUAUUUCGGUAUGUAAAGCUCUAUCAGCAGGGAAGAAGAUGACGGUACCUGACUAAGAAGCCCCGGCUAACUACGUGCCAGCAGCCGCGGGAAUACGUAGGGGGCAAGCGUUAUCCGGAUUUACUGGGUGUAAAGGGAGCGUAGGCGGCAGGGCAAGUAUGGAGUGAAAGCCCGGGGCCCAACCCCGGGACUGCUUUGGAAACUGCCAUGCUAGAGUGCUGGAGAGGUAAGCGGAAUGCCUGGUGUAGCGGUGAAAUGCGUAGAUAUUAUGAGGAACACCAGUGGCGAAGGCGGCUUACUGGACAGUAACUGACGUUGAGGCACGAAAGCGUGGGGAGCAAACAGGAUUAGAUACCCGAGUAGUC